rnacentral:misc_RNA from 1 species
GUGCAUUCAAAUAGUGGAAUCCAUCGAGAGAAGAAGCUAUAUUAGCACCAGAAGAGUAAUAAUUUUCCAUUCCUGAAACUCCAGAUUUGAGAAUAAGACAGGCUUCCCAUAACCUUGAGCUUUCAUCCAUGUACUCAUCUAGCCACUUUUCUCCUAUGGGAAGAUGAAGCCUUUGAACCAAAAGGGUCAAUUGGGAGUGGAAUGAUUGGAGUGAGGAGAGGACUUUUUGCAAGAAUUGAACUGACAAGAAGUUGUUAGAGAGGAAACAUCGAUCAAGAUCAUCGAGUCCUCGCGUGAUAAAGUUGUAGAAGCCAUUGACAGAAGUGGUGGUGCAUGAAGGAUUCAUU